rnacentral:lncRNA from 1 species
AUCCUAAGAACUUUAACUCCUUCUCUUUGAAAUCUACAAGGGAUUUUUUCAGAACCUCAAAAUAUUUCUUAGCUCCUAACAACUUUGCUAGCCCCUUUUUCUUUUUUUUCUUUUUCUUUUCUCUAUUUUUUUUCGUUUUUUUUUUUAGGUUGGGGGCCAAGACUUUCAAAACUUGAGCUAGAGGCUUCUCUACUUAUCCCAAUAAAACAAUUCACUUAAGCACAAAGAGUCUAUUCUUUUUCUUUUUCAUUUCUCCCAAAUCAUAAUCACAACACUCACCCCCCACCUAUAGCUAGACAAUAGAGUGCCCAAUCUAGCAAGAAUUAAGAUCAAGCAUUGUCGUUCCCGAUACUCUCAACAUUAUGCACAUGUAAGACUUUCCGAAAAAGGCCUCACUCAUCAAACAAUGAAAGCUUAAAAGGAGGGAAAGGU